UGAAGCUGGAAUUGCUAGUAAUGGCAGGUCAGCAUACUGCCGUGAAUACGUUCCCGGGCCUUGUACACACCGCCCGUCACACCAUGAGAGUUGGAAAUACCCGAAGCCUGUGAGCUAACUUAAAGAGGCAGCAGUCGAAGGUAGAGCCAAUGAUUGGGGUGAAGUCGUAACAAGGUAAC
rnacentral:rRNA from 1 species